UGGGGAAUUUUGGACAAUGGGGGAAACCCUGAUCCAGCCAUCCCGCGUGUGCGAUGAAGGCCUUCGGGUUGUAAAGCACUUUUGGCAGGAAAGAAACGUCAUGGGUUAAUACCCCGUAAAACUGCCGGUCCCUGCAGAAUAACAACCGGCUAACUACGUGCCAGCAGCCGCGGUAAUACGUAGGGUGCAAGCGUUAAUCGGAAUUACUGGGCGUAAAGCGUGCGCAGGCGGUUCGGAAAGAAAGAUGUGAAAUCCCAGAGCUCAACUUUGGAACUGCAUUUUUAACUACCGGGCUAGAGUGUGUCAGAGGGAGGUGGAAUUCCGCGUGUAGCAGUGAAAUGCGUAGAUAUGCGGAGGAACACCGAUGGCGAAGGCAGCCUCCUGGGAUAACACUGACGCUCAUGCACGAAAGCGUGGGGAGCAAACAGG
rnacentral:rRNA from 1 species